GCGGACGGGUGAGUAAUGCUUGGGAAUCUGGCUUAUGGAGGGGGAUAACUACGGGAAACUGUAGCUAAUACCGCGUAGUAUCGGAAGAUGGAAGUGUGGGACCGCAAGGCCACAUGCCAUAAGAUGAGCCCAAGUGGGAUUAGGUAGUUGGUUAGGUAAAGGCUGACCAAGCCGACGAUCUCUAGCUGGUCUGAGAGGAUGACCAGCCACACUGGAACUGAGACACGGUCCAGACUCCUACGGGAGGCAGCAGUGGGGAAUAUUGCACAAUGGGGGGAACCCUGAUGCAGCCAUGCCGCGUGAAUGAAGAAGGCCUUCGGGUUGUAAAGUUCUUUCGGUGAUGAGGAAGGUGUUUGUUUUAAUAGGACAAGCAAUUGACGUUAGUCACAGAAGAAGCACCGGCUAACUCCGUGCCAGCAGCCGCGGUAAUACGGAGGGUGCGAGCGUUAAUCGGAAUAACUGGGCGUAAAGGGCACGCAGGCGGUGACUUAAGUGAGAUGUGAAAGCCCCGAGCUUAACUUGGGAAUUGCAUUUCAUACUGGGUCGCUAGAGUACUUUAGGGAGGGGUAGAAUUCCACGUGUAGCGGUGAAAUGCGUAGAGAUGUGGAGGAAUACCGAAGGCGAAGGCAGCCUCUUGGGAAUGUACUGACGCUCACGUGCGAAAGCGUGGGGAGCAAACAGGAUUAGAUACCCUGGUAGUCCACGC
rnacentral:rRNA from 1 species